rnacentral:rRNA from 1 species
CCUACGGGAGGCAGCAGUGGGGGAUAUGGCACAAUGGGGGCAACCCUGAUGCAGCGAGGAAGCGUGAGCGAUGGAGUACUGCGGUAUGUAAAGCUCUGUCAGCAGGGAAGAGAAUGACGGUACCUGACCAAGAAGCCCCGGCUAAAUACGUGCCAGCAGCCGCGGUAAUACGUAUGGGGCAAGCGUUAUCCGGAUUUACUGGGUGUAAAGGGAGCGUAGGCGGCAGGGCAAGCCUGAUGUGAAAGCCCGGGGCUCAACCCCGGGACUGCAUUGGGAACUGCCCCGCUCGAGUGCCGGAGGGGCAGGCGGAAUUCCUAGUGUAGCGGUGAAAUGCGUAGAUAUUAGGAGGAACACCAGUGGCGAAGGCGGCCUGCUGGACGGUGUACUGACGCUGAGGCUCGAAAGCGUGGGGAGCAAACAGGAUUAGAUACCCCGGUAGUC